UGGGGAAUUUUGGACAAUGGGCGAAAGCCUGAUCCAGCAAUGCCGCGUGUGUGAAGAAGGCCUUCGGGUUGUAAAGCACUUUUGUCCGGAAAGAAAUCCUUGGCUCUAAUACAGUCGGGGGAUGACGGUACCGGAAGAAUAAGCACCGGCUAACUACGUGCCAGCAGCCGCGGUAAUACGUAGGGUGCAAGCGUUAAUCGGAAUUACUGGGCGUAAAGCGUGCGCAGGCGGUUUGCUAAGACCGAUGUGAAAUCCCCGGGCUCAACCUGGGAACUGCAUUGGUGACUGGCAGGCUAGAGUAUGGCAGAGGGGGGUAGAAUUCCACGUGUAGCAGUGAAAUGCGUAGAGAUGUGGAGGAAUACCGAUGGCGAAGGCAGCCCCCUGGGCCAAUACUGACGCUCAUGCACGAAAGCGUGGGGGAGCAAAACAGGAUUAGAUACCCUGGUAGUCCACGCCCUAAACGAUGUCAACUAGUUGUUGGGGAUUCAUUCCUUAGUAACGUAGCUAACGCGUGAAGUUGACCGCCUGGGGAGUACGGUCGCAAGAUUAAAACUCAAAUGAAUUGACGGGGUC
rnacentral:rRNA from 1 species